rnacentral:rRNA from 1 species
UACGUAGGGGGCAAGCGUUGUCCGGAUUUAUUGGGCGUAAAGAGCGUGUAGGCGGCCAGACAGGUCCGCUGUGAAAACUCGAGGCUCAACCUCGAGACGCCGGUGGAAACCGUCUGGCUAGAGUCCGGAAGAGGAGAGUGGAAUUCCUGGUGUAGCGGUGAAAUGCGCAGAUAUCAGGAAGAACACCCGUGGCUAAGGCGGCUCGCUGGUACGGUACUGACGCUGAGACGCGAAAGCGUGGGGAGCGAACAGG